rfam:Strongylocentrotus purpuratus Contig126494_fixed, whole genome shotgun sequence.
GGGGGUAAAGCUCAGUGGUAGAGCAUUCGAGAGGUCUUUGGUUCAAAUCCGGGUGCCCCCU